ensembl:lncRNA novel transcript
UUUUUUUUUUUUUUUUUUUUUAAGACGGAGUCUCGCUGUUGUCACGCCGGCUGGAGUGCAGUGGCGCAAUCUUGGCUCACUGCAACCUCAGCCUCCCGGAUUCAAGCGAUUCUUCUGCCUCAGCCUCCUGAAUAGCUGGGAUUACAGGUGCCUGCCACUACGCCUGGCUAAUUUUUGUACUUUUAGUAGAGACAAAGUUUUGCCAUGUUGGCCAGGCUGGUCUCGAACCCCUGACCUCAGGUGAUCUGCCCGCCUCAGUCUCCCAAAGUGCUGGAAUUAUAGGCGUGAGCCACCGCGCCCGGCCCCAGAUCUUUUUUUAUGUAGUGGCGCGCACAUACACACACACACACCCCAAACCAAAAUGUCAAGUCUAUGAGGAAGAGCAAUGGAAAGAGCCUGAAGGGAAAAGAUUGGGAACCAUGGCAUUUUGAGAACCUAUCUACAGCUACUAAGGCUUUUUGGGUGUUGGGAAAACAGGCUAUUGCUUAACAAGGGUGGGGAAGAGCGACAUGAAUGUCAUGAAACAAGAAUGGGGGCAUCAAAGACAAAUUCAUCAUUACUUUGCUGGUGUCUUACAGGACUUUCUUCCCUUUGAAACCUUAGUAACAUUUUUUCCCCUUUGGAAAAAAUGUCAGAGAGUGCUCAGGAGCUCAACUUUUACUUCAGCUGUUAUUAACCUUCAACCACAAGACAAUAACAUCUGUUCCUUUUAUCCCAAUUUUACGUGCGGCAUUCUUAGCCAUAUCUACACUGUGUUUUUAUGCACAUCAUCAUACCCUGUUGUAGGGCUAUAAAGACCCUACUAUGGUAGAAUUGGGAGUGGACUGAGGGAUUAGGACAAAAGGAUGUGGAAAACCGCAGAUCUAGAGAUGCAUAGCUAUUCUCAUAACCUAGGAAGAGAGGUGGAUUUCUCCGUCAUCAAUAGCUGAACACUCCUUGUGUUUCUAAGUAUUGAAUCCAUAAAGUUACAUGCAAACAUACAGCCCUUGCCUUCAGGCCAAGCCGUAGUUAUGCAGAAGGCUUGAAGCAAUCACAGAUUUAACAUUUGUGGUUCCAGCUAUUCAGGACCAAUUCCCAAACUCCACGACAUGUAACAAUUUGUAAUUUUGCUAGGACACAGUUUGAUGCUUAGGUUUUAAGGCUGGUGUGCUAGACGUUAUCAAGUGGUUUGUGAGAGUAGCCCUGUGUCUCCAUUGGGUAGAGUAGCUGGGUCGCAAGGAUCAUGAAGAGAUGAAGAAAUGGCUGUGAAAAGCCAACUAGCCUCGGUGAUAGUAAGCAAAGGUAUAGAAACACUAAGGAAGUUACCCUUUGUAUUGUCAAAGGUUUCAGUUUUGUGUAAGGUGGUGAUUCACGGGCAGUUAAUCUCCAUCACUAAAAUUAAAUCCUUUUUUAUUCAUUGCAAAUAGAUAAUCUGUGGAAGACAUUUUGGCUUUUCUCGCUAGCAGAAAAUGUGAGGCUUCUUCAGGUUUUUCCUGUUCAUUGUUUCACGGGAGCAUCUUCCCCAAAACACUGCAAAACUCAAAGUUCUCAGGCUGAUGUGGCAGAAAGAGCAUUGAUCUCGGCUUCAGGAGCUAAAUUCUCUAGUCCUGACUGUGCCACUAACAGACUGUGGGACUUCAGACAAGUACAUUCCUUUCUCGGGUUUCUUAUGUCAAAUGGACAGCGUGAGAAGGAUCACAAUGAACCAGGGAUCAGCUUCACGAUUAAAACCUAAGACUUAAGAGACGGACAUCUGUCCGUUCCUGGCUACACCUCCGGCCCAUCUGGCCCACCCCAAACU